GGAAUCAGGUGACGGAUUAUUGGAUACCUUUCUGACAUCGUGAGCUUCAAAAGAUCAAGGAAGUGUGCCACUUGAAGUCCUGAGGCUAUGUCCUUCUGCCUGAGACCCAGAGGGGAGCCAGAGGCCACACAAGGGCAGUGAAGCUUUACUUUACCAUGAAAAUCAUAGACUGCCUGGAAGGACAAAAUCCCCCAAUUCAUUUAUAGCCUGGAACUGAGGAUGCCAGACGCUGGGGCACUAUUGUCAUUUGUUGUUAUG
rnacentral:lncRNA from 1 species